ensembl:lncRNA
CAAAGACUGGGCAGCACAACAUAAUUAAGAAGCGACUGACUUCUGGGAAAAGAUGGAAAGAGCUCAGAGUCUGAGAGCUGUGUGGCAGAAAACCCUGGAAGGAGGUGAUCACCAUUUCCAAGAAUUGAAAUUCAGUAACUAAAAGGCUAGAAGAGGACCUUCUUGGGGAGCUGGGAGUGGUUCAAAAGGGACAGGAAGUGGCUUCUUUCCCAGUGACUCGUGGCAUUUCCUUUGCCCAGAGGAGUGACUGGCAUCACCCCGACGACCUAAUCCUGAGCGUGGCACGAGCGCCGAUGACACCACCUGCUAAACAACUGGAUAUGCAUGGAAUGGCCAGCUAAGAAAGCAUGCGUUCUGGAUUGUGUAUGUGCCUCAAGCAUGUGGUCAGUCAGAUUCGCACCUGGGACUUUUGUUAGAGGUCUUAGGACAGGUGUGUGUUCACAUGUGUUUACUUUGGACUCGCCAGCCAUGAGGAUCGUUUAGGCCUGAAGCUAGAGAUGACCACUGUCCAGUCCAAUGGAAGGAGUCUACCUGAAGAUGACAACAACAUAGAGGAAAAGAGAGCCGAGAAAUGCAGAAUGGCGUGCGCCUGCUGACUACACCGGAUGCCUGGACCCAGCUGUGCCCGAAGUCAGAAGUCAAUCUGGAUGUGUCAGUGACGACAACAAUGAAUUCCUUUUUAUUCCUAAAGCAGAUUGACAGAUGCUGCUGUUGCUUGCGGCUGCAGUGGUCUUGCUAUUACACCCUCCUCCAUCUGAUCUGAACUCCAAAUGGAGAG